GUAAACUUUUGAGGGUUUAUUGUUCUGUAUUGUUUGGCAAUUUCACUCUCAAUAUGUCAAUAUAUAAUUAAUAUGCAACCAAACUACUGUGCAGUUAACAGCAAUUCUCUCAAUAAAGCAGUUUGUACAGAAAUCAGCAUAUGGUUAAAGUUGGAAAUUUGGAAACAAAAAAGAAAUUUGCUCAUAGCGUGUGCAGCGACUGAUGGCCAAAACGUCAUUCUUACACAACUGUGACCUUCAGCCACCUCUGAUAUCUAAUUUAGGAAAAAUCCACUUCACAUUUUGUUCCUGGAAACAGCCACGUCAGCUGUUUAUCAGCACUGUCAGCAAAUAUUCAGCCACACGUUUAAGGACAUUAUUUCAACCUGAGCUAGCUCACAGACAGAUUCAGACAGGUGUCUUAGCAGCGAGCCAGGCUGAAACCAAAGUACAGAGACAAGAUCACAGGACGGGGUCAUCAGUCCAUAGUCCGCCUCAACCUUCACCAACCAAACAUCUGUUUCAUGUUCGUCUCCCUGCGUGCACACAUGAACAUCCACAUGUGUGCACAGUCAUGCCGAGUUGAAAAGGUUGUGUACUGAUUUUCUGCCGAGUAGAGCGGAGGAACAGAAGACGGCGUGAAGAAAGACGUGAGAGCGAACAGAAGAGACAAGAAAACAAUGUGCCCUUGAGUACUUUGAAUAGAGAUUUCAGAGCUGCUCACACUGUGAAGGAGUGGAUAAAGAGUGCAUGGGAAGCAAGUUUACAACCUUUUUUCCAACCAUUACCUGCCCAUCAGCCGGAUUGGACGAGGACCAAACUUGUCCAUCAGGAUGCCGAGCGGCAGCGUUGCGGCGCUCAGCAAGAAGGACCCAAUGGUGAAGCCCAGAUUCAGCAUCUCAUCUUGGUCCACACAGCUCAC